AAGCGAACGAAGUAGCAAUACUUAGUGGCAGACGGGUGAGUAACAUGUAGGUAUCUGCCCUUUGGCCUGGAAUAACACGAGGAAACUUGUGCUAAUACCGGAUAAGUCUUUACGGAGAAAGCUUUAUGCACCAUUGGAUGAGCCUGCACUUGAUUAGUUUGUUGGUGGGGUAAUGGCCUACCAAGACUGUGAUCAAUAGCUGAUUUGAGAGGAUGAUCAGCCACAUUGGGACUGAGACACGGCCCAAACUCCUACGGGAGGCAGCAGUGGGGAAUCUUGCACAAUGGAGGAAACUCUGAUGCAGCGAUGCCGCGUGAGUGAAGAAGGCCUUUGGGUUGUAAAGCUCUUUCGUCGGGGAAGAAAAUGACUGUACCCGAAUAAGAAGGUCCGGCUAACUUCGUGCCAGCAGCCGCGGUAAUACGAAGGGACCUAGCGUAGUUCGGAAUUACUGGGCUUAAAGAGUUCGUAGGUGGUUGAAAAAGUCGGUGGUGAAAUCCCAGAGCUUAACUCUGGAACUGCCAUCAAACUUUCAGCUAAAGUAUGAUAGAGGAAAGCCGAAUUCUAGUGUUCAGGUGACAUUCGUAGAUAUUAGAAAGAAUACCAAUUGCGAAGGCUGCUUCCGGAUCAUUCUGACCUGAGGAACGAAGCUGGUA
rnacentral:rRNA from 1 species